UGGGCAACCUGCCCCUCUCUCUGGGAUAACCCCGGGAAACCGGAGCUAAUACCGGAUACUCCGGCUGGAUCGCAUGGUCCGGCCGGGAAAGGUCCGCCGGAGAGGGAUGGGCCCGCGGCCUAUCAGCUUGUUGGUGGGGUGAUGGCCUACCAAGGCGACGACGGGUAGCCGGCCUGAGAGGGCGUCCGGCCACACUGGGACUGAGACACGGCCCAGACUCCUACGGGAGGCA
rnacentral:rRNA from 1 species